UGGGAAACAGUUAUAUUUAUGUGAAUCAAUUUGAAGAACAGCUUCCAGAAGAAAAACUGUCAGAGAUUGCAAUUC
rnacentral:tRNA from 1 species